GGGAGGGCCCAUUCCCUCUAUAGUGACCUGCUAUUGACCAGGGAGGGCCCAUUCCCUCUAUAGUGACCUGCUAUUGACCAGGGAGGGCCCAUUCCCUCUAUAGUGACCUGCUAUUGACCAGGGAGGGCCCAUUCCCUCUAUAGUGACCUGCUAUUGACCAGGGAGGGCCCAUUCCCUCUACAGUGACCUGCCAUAGGGCCCAUUCCCUCUACAGUGACCUGCCAUAGGGCCCUGGCUCAGUAGGUAGUGCACUGCAUAGGGAAUAGGGUGUGAUUUCAGACGCUGUCUAGGAAUGAUCUGACCACUGCCAAACAGAGAUGUUGUUGUUUAUACUUAACCAGGGUGGUUAGUUAGUACUUGGUUAGUUAACCAGGGUGGUUAGUUAGUACUUGGUUAGUUAACCAGGGUGGUUAGUUAGUACUUGGUUAGUUAACCAGGGUGGUUAGUUAGUACUUGGUUAGUUAACCAGGGUGGUUAGUUAGUACUUGGUUAGUUAACCAGGGUGGUUAGUUAGUACUUGGUUAGUUAACCAGGGUGGUUAGUUAGUACUUGGUUAGUUAACCAGGGUGGUUAGUUAGUACUUGGUUAGUUACCUGGUUAUUAGUAGCGGGGGGUUGGGAUGUGUUCUGUAACUGUUUAAAGAGAGUUCUGAUUAUAUUACCAUGCAGUUAAAUGUGUCAAACUGUAAAAUACUGAAAAGGGAUUUUUUCUUUCUUGUGUCAAGAGUGACUGAGGAUGAUGAUGAUGAGGAGGAGGAGGAUUACAAUGACAAUGAGGAUAUGAUGAUGAUGAUGAUGAUGGCUGAAUCUUAUUUUGUGUGUCCGCUGAGCUAAUAGCCUUAUCUGAACUUGGGGAGAACUCUACAUGAUGAUGAUGAUGAUGAUGAUGAUGAUGGCUGAAUCUUAUUUUGUGUGUCCGCUGAGCGAAUAGCCUUUUCUGAACUUGGGGAGAACUCUACAUGAUGAUGAUGAUGAUGAUGAUGGCUGAAUCUUGUUUUGUGUGUCCGCUGAGCUAAAGGCCUUAUCUGAGUUAACUGAAGCAUCUGCUGUCUUACAGGAAAAGUACAGAGGUUUGUAAACGAUGUAGGGAGAGGGGGUGUGUCUUGUACGUGUAAAUCUGUCUUCUGAUUGGAUAAUAUAAUAUAACUCAACUCAC